GGAGUUUCAUUAGGCUAACAGACUGUUAAGAAUAAAUGAGAUAGUGACUUAGAAUUCUUCUUGCUCACAGAAGGGCUGUCUUUUAAUUUUUAUUACCCUUGGUGAAUUCUUAAGUCUUCUGGUUAGUUGAAGAAUGGAACCCAAGAGAGUUUUCCUUUUUUAAAACUUCUGAUAGUGCGUUACAGUUAAUUUACCUUCAUGUGUUGAUUAGGACAAUCUGAUUUUAACA
rnacentral:lncRNA from 1 species